GUAGGGUGCAAGCGUUAAUCGRAAUUACUGGGCGUAAAGCGUGCGCAGGCGGCUUUGCAAGACAGAUGUGAAAUCCCCGGGCUUAACCUGGGAACUGCAUUUGUGACUGCAUGGCUGGAGUGCGGCAGAGGGGGAUGGAAUUCCGCGUGUAGCAGUGAAAUGCGUAGAUAUGCAGAGGAACACCGAUGGCGAAGGCAAUCCCCUGGGCCUGCACUGACGCUCAUGCACGAAAGCGUGGGGAGCAAACAGGAUUAGAUACCCUGGUAGUCCACGCCCUAAACGAUGUCAACUGGUUGUUGGACGGCUUGCUGUUCAGUAACGAAGCUAACGCGUGAAGUUGACCGCCUGGGGAGUACGGCCGCAAGGUUG
rnacentral:rRNA from 1 species